GACNUNAUACCAUGCAGUCGACGAUGAUGCCCAGCUUGCUGGGUGGAUUAGUGGCGAACGGGUGAGUAACACGUGAGUAACCUGCCCCUGACUCUGGGAUAAGCGUUGGAAACGACGUCUAAUACUGGAUAUGACUGCUGGCCGCAUGGUCUGGUGGUGGAAAGAUUUUUUGGUUGGGGAUGGACUCGCGGCCUAUCAGCUUGUUGGUGAGGUAAUGNNGCUCANCCCAAGGGCGACGACGGGUAGCCGGCCUGAGAGNGNGNUUGACCGGCCACACUGGGACUGAGNACACGGCCCAGACUCCUACGGGAGGCAGCAGUGGGGAAUAUUGCACAAUGGGCGAAAAGCCUGAUGCAGCAACGCCGCGUGAGGGAUGACGGCCUUCGGGUUGUAAACCUCUUUUAGUAGGGAAGAAGCGUAAGUGACGGUACCUGCAGAAAAAGCACCGGGCUAACUACGUGCCAGCAGCCGCGGUAAUACGUAGGGUGCAAGCGUUGUCCGGGAAUUAUUGGGCGUAAAGAGCUCGUAGGCGGUUUGUCGCGUCUGCUGUGAAAUCCCGAGGCUCAACCUCGGGCUUGCAGUGGGUACGGGCAGACUAGAGUGCGGUAGGGGAGAUUGGAAUUCCUGGUGUAGCGGUGGAAUGCGCAGAUAUCAGGAGGAACACCGAUGGCGAAGGCAGAUCUCUGGGCCGUAACUGACGCUGAGGAGCGAAAGCGUGGGGAGCGAACAGGAUUAGAUACCCUGGUAGUCCACGCCGUAAACGUUGGGCGCUAGAUGUAGGGACCUUUCCACGGUUUCUGUGUCGUAGCUAACGCAUUAAGCGCCCCGCCUGGGGAGUACGGCCGCAAGGCUAAAACUCAAAGGAAUUGACGGGGGCCCGCACAAGCGGCGGAGCAUGCGGAUUAAUUCGAUGCAACGCGAAGAACCUUACCAAGGCUUGACAUACACCGGAAACGGCCAGAGAUGGUUGCCCCCUUGUGGUCCGGUGUACAGGUGGUGCAUGGUUGUCGUCAGCCUCGUGUCGUGAAGAUGUUGGGUUAAGUCCCCGCAACGAGCGCAACCCUCGUUCUAUGUUGCCAGCGCGUUAUGGCCGGGACNUCAUAGGAAAACUGCCGGGGUCAACUCGGAGGAAGGUGGGGAUGACGUCAAAUCAUCAUGCCCCUUAUGUCNUUGGGCUUCACGCAUGCNUACAAUGGCCGGUACAAAGGNNGNCUUGCGCNAANNUNACCGGUANACGNNGUGGAGCGAAUCCCAAAAAGCCGGUCUCAGUUCGGAUUGAGGUCUGCAACUCGACCUCAUGAAGUCGGAGUCGCUAGUAAUCGCAGAUCAGCAACGCUGCGGUGAAUACGUUCCCGGGCCUUGUACACACCGCCCGUCAAGUCAUGAAAGUCGGUAACACCCGAAGCCGGUGGCCUAACCCUUGUGGAAGGAGCCGUCGAAUAUGNU
rnacentral:rRNA from 1 species